GCUGCCACUCCUGUUUGGCUUCUGCUGAAAGAAAACCAGGGGAGCCCUGAGAAUGUCAGUGUCUUUCCAUCACGCAUACUACAGUAUGCAGGAGAAUGGAGAAGUGAAAUCAGGUGGUACCAACAGGAACGAAAAGCAAAGAUGGUCAAGAAACGCAGAAGAAUAAAUGGACGAGACCAGGACCAGAGCUGCACAACAGGACCUGAGUAACUCUCAUCUCACCACCUGGACCUACCCAGUAGACUGUGACCUGCAUGGACCAAUCAGAACUAAACAAGCUCGCAUCCCUCAUUUGCAUAGCAGACCAAAGUGAGAACCUCUAUGGGAACUUUCUCCAUAAAAGACAACCCCUGUCUUUGUUCUCUUGGAGUGACCUUUGUUUUGUACUGAAGGCUGCAUCUCAAUUAGGUUUGCAAAUUGCUUGCUGGAAUGAAGUCUUUUUCUCUUUUUUUGAGGAAAAUCCUUUUCAGUGGAUUUGUUGACAGAGUACAGCUUUUGUAUUAAGAGCUUCCCAUCUGUUCAGUGCUAGGGCCUGCAUGACCAACUAGCCACCACCAAAUGUCCUGCAGGUCUACCUGUCCUGCAGGUAGACCUUGAUUUCUACUCCCACCCUGCUGCCUGUUUUGAUGACAUGCCUACCGUGAAUUUCUGCCCCUUAUUUGUCUCUGCCACUCUGGGAUCCCAUCAUCCCCACUAAAUCAGGAGGUCUAUGUCAACAGAGCACCUCCUACUCUCAGCCCCCCAGCUGUAGAUGGUAGUCACCAGAGGACUUGUAAUGGAUGUCAGGCUCUCCUCGCCAAUGUAUGAGGUUUGUUGAGGACAGGGCCCUGUGGCCCCUCCCAGGAGGCAUAAUGAGGGAUGGCUAGGCAG